GUGUUGUAUGAAAGGAGAGAAGCUUAGCACUCCCCUUGACAAGAAUGGUGGAGGCUGUCAGGCCUGACAACACACGUACAGUUAAGGCAUUGCCACCUACUUUGUGGCAUCUAACCAUUUUUU